rnacentral:rRNA from 1 species
AACGAACGCUGGCGGCAGGCUUAACACAUGCAAGUCGAACGCCCCGCAAGGGGAGUGGCAGACGGGUGAGUAACGCGUGGGAAUCUACCCAGAUCUUCGGAACAACUGAGGGAAACUUCAGCUAAUACCGGAUACGCCCUACGGGGGAAAGAUUUAUCGGUUCUGGAUGAGCCCGCGUUGGAUUAGCUAGUUGGUGAGGUAACGGCUCACCAAGGCGACGAUCCAUAGCUGGUCUGAGAGGAUGAUCAGCCACACUGGGACUGAGACACGGCCCAGACUCCUACGGGAGGCAGCAGUGGGGAAUAUUGGACAAUGGGCGAAAGCCUGAUCCAGCCAUGCCGCGUGAGUGAUGAAGGCCUUAGGGUUGUAAAGCUCUUUCAGUAGGGAAGAUAAUGACGGUACCUACAGAAGAAGCCCCGGCUAACUUCGUGCCAGCCGCCGCAGUAA